UUGUACCUAAAAAAUGAAACAACAAAAAAAUGAAAGAGAAUAAAAAAUAAUCAGAUUAACGGAUAAAUAGAAAAGAAAAAUUCAAACUGAUAAAAUUUGAAAAAGAAUAGAAAAUGAAAACAAUUUCAAUUAGUACAUUUUCCCUCAAACGAAUCAGCUGAUUUUUCCUCCAAUUAGCUAAUUGAUUUAAUUGUUUCUCUCUUUUUAAUUGUUCUUGUUACUAAUUUAAUUCUGUUAAUUAGUAUUGUUUUUUCUAAAAGUAUGUAUAUCAAAAAUCUCCAAUUCAGGUGAGUGAUUCUUUUUUUUACUUGUUUUCCAUUUUGUUACCACCAAUGAAAAGAAAACACCUUAAGGGGUUCAAAGGGUUUUCUUUUCUUAGAUACAAUUGUAAUUAAUUUUUCUUUCUUUUUCUAUUUAUGGUUAUUGAUUAAUAUUUUAAUUGUUUUCCAUCUUGAUUGGAUAAGAGAGAGAACAAUAUAAUUAUCGGAAAUUAAACAAGGUAAUUAUAUCUUUUGGUUGGGGUAUAUGAAUGUUAUUCAUCCAAUGUAUUAGCUCAUUUUGAUAUCACUUGUAAGAGUAACAUUAUUGCCCUUAAGAUGUUCACAACCUUUUUUUGUUUAAAUAUAUACUCUUUAUAAAAGAGUAAACUAUUAUUAUUGUUAUUAAUAUCAUCAUCAUUAAAUACUCUAUCAUCAGAGUUUUAUCAGUAAAUUACAAUAAUCAAAAUGUUAAAUCAAUAAAUAAAUGUUUUAUCCAAAAAUCAAAUCAAAACCAAAUACAACAUCUUAAUCGUACUAAUGGUUGACAAUUUUUACAUUUGACCUGGAAUUUGAAACACCAUUUAUAAUGUUCAAUCGGCAUUUACAUUCAUUUAUCAAUAUUGGAAAAUUUCAUCAUCAUCAUCUUGAAAUAUCAUUUGGAAUGUGUCCCUCUCUUAAUGAUAAUAUGUCUUAAGAGUCAUUUACUAUUCUGACCCAUUUGGAUUAACAAAUCAACAACAGGUAGACAUAAACACCCACCGAAUUGAGCCAAAAACAACCAACUAAGAUUCAAAGGUAAACAAAAAGUAAAGUUUUCUAAGAGAUUUGUUGUAAAUUCAUCAUCAUGUGUAUAUAAGUUUCAUUCACAAUUGUAAUGGUCAAUUGUCCCUUCUCAUUUGGUCAAAUACUAUUAUAUUAUACAUCACACCCAAAGAACAAGAGGAAAAAACUUUCUCUCAACUUGAAAAUCUUGAAUCAAUGUUACCAAAACUUGACCCACUCAGAAUAUCAUCAUUAUCCUAAUCCUAAUCAUCUCAAUCAGCUGAUUGUGAAAAUAUUACUACUUGAUGUGGAGGACGAUGAUGAGGAUGAUACUAUUGCUGAUAAUCACCACCAUCAUGAUGAUAAGAUAAAAAGAUGACAUUAAGAUGUAUAAAUAAAAAUGACACCAAUGAUGACCUUUUUUUCUUGAUGAUGAUUAUCCUCAUCCUCAUCUUUUACUCUGUAAAAGAUGCACAUACCAAAUUGAUCCACAAAUUUGGGUCCUUUUUAGCAAAAAAUUAAUAAAGACAAUCCGAUUUGAUGUUUUGGUCACUUUUGUUCACAAUUGUCCUUGUUGCACAUUAAUUGUCCGAAAAUGAUGAUACUAAAUGAUGAGGAUGAUGAUCAACAAUCAACAAUAACUAAUGUUUAUUGAUGAUUAUAUUAAUAAACACACACACACAAUGAAAUUAAGACUUAAUUGUUGAACAGACAAAGUUAAUGGUCUCGAUCUCACAUGACUUUGUUUCUUAUGAGCUUUUGACAAUUAAUCAAUUCUGAUAAUAAUCUUUCUCGAGAUAAACAACAAUUAAAAUUGACUAUACUCUUUAAUCAACUAAUUAAAGGUGAUGAGAUUUACUGAGAAACACGUUAGUUAACAAUUUAAUUUAAUUUCCAUCCUGAAAUCAUAUUCAUUUGUAAAUUAUGAUGAAGACAAACAAUUAAAUGUCAAUCAAUUGUUGAUGAUGAUCAUUAAAUAAUAGUAACAAUUUUCAACUACUAAAUGUUAACCACUAGUAAUCAAAACUAAUCAUCAUGUGUUGAUGAUCAGACUGUUAAUGAUAAUGGUGAUAAUGAUUAAUAAAGAAACUUAAUUUAGUUAUUAUUUUAAAAGGAGAUUCAAAUUAACUAUAACCAAAUCAACAGUGAAACAAUUAAAUUGUUAUAUGUAUGUUAAUAAUCAUCAAUUUGUCUGUAGACACAAAUACAAACUGACCUGAAACUUGUUCUUACAAUCAAUUAUAUAAUUAAAUUGUAAUUAACAAAAAUAUAAUCUCAUCAAUAGAAAUAGAAAGUCUGAUGAACUUUAAUUUAGUUAAUAAGACCAUUAAUUAACCUCAACUAAUUUAAAUCACAAUUGAUCAGCACAUUGAUGAUUAUGUAUUGAUAUUCAAAGGGUAACCCAAAUAUUUUUCAUUCACAAGAAAAUGAAAAGUAAAACUUUUACCAUUAAAUUAGCAAGAAAACAAAAACAAGAAAAAAUUUACCAGUUAAUUGAUUAAUUCGUGAUUAAUAAAUUGUUUAGGUUAAUUGUUAAUCACUUUUCGUUUCCCUCGUCUUAUUAUUACCAACAGCAAAGAGUAACAAUUAACCGUUACCUGUAUAUGUAAUUAUAUGUAUUAUAAGGGAAAGGGAAACAUGAUCAACUUUAAUCACGAUGAUUUAAAACUGAUUUGAUUAAAGAGGCGAGUAGAUCACGUUAAUUGUAAGGUUAAUCAAUUCUGGGAAUUGGAGGACAAUCAAAAUUUUCAAUGAAAAUGAAACCCUUA